UUAAUAAGCGGAGGAAAAGAAACUAACAAGGAUUCCCUCAGUAACGGCGAGUGAAGCGGGAAGAGCUCAAAUUUGAAAUCUCCGAUGCCUGCAUCGGCGAGUUGUAGUUGCGAGAAGCACUUUCUAGGCGGAUUGGUGGUGCCUAAGUUGCUUGGAACAGCACGUCGCAGAGGGUGACAACCCCGUCUGUGGCGCCGGCGGCCGCCGACGAUGUGCUUUCGAAGAGUCGGGUUGUUUGGGAAUGCAGCCCAAAAGGGGUGGUAAACUCCAUCUAAAGCUAAAUACUGGCGUGAGACCGAUAGCGA
rnacentral:rRNA from 2 species